rnacentral:rRNA from 1 species
AGAGUUUGAUCCUGGCUCAGGAUGAACGCUGGCGGCGUGCCUAAUACAUGUAAGUCGAACGGAAGAUGUAGCAAUAUGUCUUUAGUGGCGAACGGGUGAGUAACGCGUUGGUGACCUGCCCCGAAGAGAGGGAUAACAGACCGAAAGGUUUGCUAAUACCGCGUAAUUUCCUUCUAGUUAGAGAGGAGGGAAGAAAGGCCGAAAGGCGCUUUGGGAGGGGCCUGCGUCCCAUCAGCUAGUUGGCGAGGUAAAAGCUCACCAAGGCGAUGACGGGUAGGGGACCUGAGAGGGUGACCCCCCACAAUGGAACUGAAACACGGUCCAUACACCUACGGGUGGCAGCAGUAGGGAAUAUUGGUUAAUGGGCGAAAGCCCGACCCAGCAACGCCGCGUGCACGAAGAAGGCCUUCGGGUUGUAAAGUGCUUUUUAGUGGGAUGAGGAAGGACAGUACCACUAGAAUAAGUCUCGGCUAACUACGUGCCAGCAGCCGCGGUAACACGUAGGAGACGAGCGUUAUCCGGAUUUACUGGGUGUAAAGCACGUGCAGGCGGUCGGGUAAGUUGGAUGUGAAAGCUCCUGGCUUAACUGGGAGAGGUCGUUCAAAACUGCCGGGCUAGAGUGCAACAGAGGGGAGUGGAAUUCCGAGUGUAGCGGUAAAAUGCAUAGAUAUUCGGGAGAACACCAGUGGCGAAGGCGGCUCUCUGGGUUGCAACUGACGCUCAGACGCGAAAGCUAGGGUAGCGAACGGGAUUAGAGACCCCGGUAGUCCUAGCCGUAAACGAUGUGGACUUGGCGUGGGUGGGUUGAAAUCCAUCUGUGCCGAAGCAAACGCGAUAAGUCCACCACCUGGGGACUACGGCCGCAAGGUUAAAACUCAAAGGAAUUG